CCUAAAACCCUACCCGGUUACCCGGUUCCCUUGAACCAAAACACACAAUGCGCACCUAACCCUACAGUAGCAGCAGCUGCAAGCUGAACGAAGGAAAGAAAGAGGGGGAAGCAGGGGAGGGGUUCCCUGGAAGCAGAUUGAGGGAGAAGAAGAGAGGGGGCGAUCUCUAAUUGUUGAAUGGAGGAGAGCGAAGGGGACCUCGCUGCCGUGCUCAGCCCACUGCGCCUCGCCGCCAGUGCCGUCAAUGUCACCAUCGAUGGAGGAGAAGGGAGAGAGCGCUCGCGAGGAGCUGCUGCAGAAGCCACCGCCGUGCAUCCUCGUGCCGUCGCUGGAGAUCUGGCCGUCGUCGUUGAUCAUCCUUGCGCCGCGUCGGAGACAGAACUACGAACUGAAGGGAGCGCGACCCACAGCCACCAACAGAGAAGCAAGAGUGCGGGGAAAGUGAAGCCACCACUGUCACCGUCGCCUGUGGAGCCGCUGCCGCACUUGACCUCCAUUGCUGUUGCACUUUUACCGCCGCCAUUCUUGCCGCUGGUAAGCUGCGUCGGAAGGAAAGCGCCGCCGCCGUGCCCUGUUAGAACUUCUGGAGCCGCGUUGGAGCUUGCUGCGAAAAAAAAAGGACGAGAUUAGGGCUAGCGCUUUUGUGCCUGGUAAGGUCCUACAACAGCUGCUGCUCUUGCUCCAUUUUGGUUUAUUCUGCCUCUGUUUAAUGGUUAUCCUUGGUGCCGUUCUGUCCGUUAGAGCUGUUGUUGUCGAUUUGGAGUUGCUGCGGGAUGGGGCCACUAGGAGAGUAUUGCUGCUACUGAACCACGGGCUCUGCGGCCGAGACUCUGCCAUUGAAGAACACUCUUCCAAGCUUCUAGCUGCCGCCGGAGCUGUUGCCGGGCCUAUUCGAAAUCGUAGCUGCCUAAUU